rnacentral:rRNA from 1 species
AUACGGGGGGAGCAAGCGUUGUCCGGAAUCAUUGGGCGUAAAGGGUGCGUAGGCGGGCUAUUAAGUCUGAUGUGAAAGCCCACGGCUUAACCGUGGAGAGUCAUUGGAUACUGAUAGUCUUGAAUCACAGAGGGGCUAGUGGAAUUCCAGGUGUAGCGGUGAAAUGCGUAGAUAUCUGGAGGAACAUCGGUGGCGAAGGCGACUGGCUGGCUGUUGAUUGACGCUGAGGCACGAAAGCGUGGGUAGCAAACAGGAUUAGAAACCCCGGUAGUCC